GUGACCCCAGGAUGGGCGAGGCCACCCGCUGAGUUUAAGCAUAUCAAUAAGCGGAGGAGGAAAAAACUUACAAAA
rnacentral:rRNA from 1 species